rnacentral:rRNA from 1 species
UGCCUAAUACAUGCAAGUCGAACGAGGCCCUCUUCCUUCGGGAGGAGGUGUCCUAGUGGCGAACGGGUGAGUAACACGUUGGUGACCUACCCCGAAGAGGGGGACAACCCCGGGAAACUGGGGCUAAUACCCCAUGUGAUCCUAAGGACUAGAUGCCUAAGGAUGAAAUGGAGCAAUUCGCUUCGGGAGGGGCCUGCGGCCUAUCAGCUAGUUGGUGAGGUAAUGGCUCACCAAGGCGACGACGGGUAGGGGACCUGAGAGGGUGACCCCCCACACUGGAACUGAAACACGGACCAGACACCUACGGGUGGCAGCAGUAGGGAAUAUUGCACAAUAGGCGAAAGCCUGAUGCAGCAACGCCGCGUGCGCGAUGAAGGCCUUAGGGUUGUAAAGCGCUUUUCUGGGGGACGAGAAAGGACGGUACCCCAGGAAUAAGUCUCGGCUAACUACGUGCCAGCAGCCGCGGUAAAACGUAGGAGGCAAGCGUUAUCCGGAUUUACUGGGCGUAAAGCGCGUGCAGGCGGUUUGGUAAGUCGGACGUGAAAGCUCCCGGCUCAACUGGGAGAGGCCGUUCGAAACUACCAGGACUAGAGGGCAGCAGAGGGAAGUGGAAUUCCAGGUGUAGCGGUGAAAUGCGUAGAUAUCUGGAGGAACACCAGUGGCGA